UCAUCACGUCAAUGAUGAUGAUAGUGAUGAUAAUGGUGAUGAUGAUGCGAAGAAUAAGCGUGAUCAUUAUUAUUAUUAUUACCACUAUAAUCAUCAUCAUCG
rnacentral:miRNA from 1 species